AAGAGCUUGCUGGUGGCACACAUUCGAAUAAGCAUACAAUCAUACUAGCAAACAUUACUCGGCGUGGCGUCAGUUCGGCACGGCAGUGCUGUGUCUGAGUCAGAGUUAGGUUAUAGUGAUAGAGUAAACAAAGCCAGUAUGUAGCAUAGUGGAACAAGUAAAUGGGGGAAUGGGAAACAGAAAAAGAAAGAGAGAGCGAGAGGUCUAUGGAAGCGGAGAUAUUGAAGACAGCAACGUAGUUUCCACUGCCAUCAGAGGCAGUUUGGAGGUAGAGAGUGGCGAGGAGGAAGGGCAAGGUACGCCAAGAGGAGAUCAAUCAAGGAGACUAUUCAAGCCAUCGACUCACUGAUGGUUGAAGAUGAUGAGCGAUCGGCAAAGGCCAUCGAAUCUGCUGGCAUCACGGCACGACAUCAACAUCGCUCUAAUCACAGUCAGAAGACAGUUGAAGAAACUUGAGUGGACUUAUGGAAAGGCUCUGCCUAGGCAUGGAUCAAAGAUGGUGAGACAUUCAAUGACAUCAUCAAGAGAUAUGCUGGACCAUAUGUCAGAGAGGUGUUUUUGGGACCACAUCGUUUCUUUCAAGACAAUGACCCAAAACACACUGCCGCCCAGGUUUGCAUUGCAAAUGAGUGCAUAACCUGGGUCAAGACGCCAGCAGAUUCUCCUGAUUUAAACUCGAUCGAACUUGUUUGGCAUCAGCUGAAAACAUUCAUCUGUAACUCUGCCAAACCUACAAGCAAAGAUGAACUGGUGAAGGCCAUCAAGACGUUUUGGCUCGAGAAACUGAUGAUGCAACAAUGCAACAAAUACAUUGAUCAUCUCAGAAAGGUUUUACCUGUGGAGCAACUAAAAUGUAG
rnacentral:lncRNA from 1 species